rnacentral:lncRNA from 1 species
GUAAGUGCUCAAAAGUAUUAUCUAGAAUAAUUUGGAUUUUAUUAUUAUAAUCUUGCAAGAUUACUGUGUUACAUAAAAAUGCAUCUAUGGAAAAUUGCAAAGCAUUAUGUACAACCAAGGAGCUAUGUAAUUUGCAGUAGAUUAUGAUACUGGUAUUCUCUCCAGCAGUUGUUACUUCAACCUUUAAAAUUCAAGAGAUUGAAAAAUUUUUGAGUAUAACCUAGUGAAAAUUUUAAAAUGUACACCAAAAUCAUUUCCUUCCCAAUGACUGCAGCUAGAGAUAAAAACCUCAUUUUUUUUCUCUAGCUGCUCAUAAGGAAUGAGCAGGAAUGUGGAAAAAAGAAAAUAAUUGGAUUCACUAAUGGUAGUAGAAAUGUGACUUUAUUCUUUUAAAGUUAAGCUAAACAUUGAGAUUUUCAUUAGUGGACACUGAUAUUCUAAAUAAGACUAAUAUAACAGUUGUCCAUUUUACUGAGCACCUCCCAUAGGUUGGGCAUGGCACUGAGUGCUUUCCAUGCACAGAUCUGUCUCAUUUUCCCAAUACUGUGAACCGUAGGAUACACAUAAGGAAACUGAAGCUCACAGAUUAGUAGCUUGCCAAGGUCUCCCAGCUGGCAAAUGUAGAGUACAGAAGUGCUUUGCAUUUAACAGUUCAGAAUAAAUAUUGGUCCCUUUAAUCUGGGGAACACAGAUGGGUUCGCAUUCUACCGGCUUGCUGGUGGUAUUUGGAGCACUAAGAAAAGGUUAAGUCACUGAUUGUAUUUUUCACUUACAUCCCAUUCGCUCCUGCACUAGUGUGAAUGCACCAACUUCCCAUGGCUUCCUGGUUGCCUGUACCCUCACCCUGUUGCCUGUGCACACCUACAGAGUCUAAGGACAAUUCAAACAGCAGAUGACAGAUGAAGAGCAAAGCCCAAAGAGCCCAAAUCCUCUACUUCCCUCACAAUGUGAAGCUCCACCAAUCAAGGGAUAGAGUCUUUUUCCCCCUUGCAUCUGGCUUCUCCAUGUCACUUGCCUUGCGAUACAAGCAGAAGUCUGAAAAGCCUUGAGCUUCGCAUCUUGUCCUCUCUGGUUCAUGGAACAGAGACCACCAUGUGCACAGACCGAUUACCUGUUUUUGGAUAAGAGACUGUGAGACCUGGCAGGUGACCUCAGAUGUGUGAGUGACCCCAGCGAGACUAGCAGUAGAAGUGCACAGCUCACCUCAAUUGUUUACCCACACACUUCUGAGCUGAAGAAAUGAUUGCUGUUCUAAACGCAAAGUUUGGAUGUGGUUUGCUAUAAAUAAAAACUAAUUGGUGCACUCA